GAAAAUUCCAUGGCUCAGUGGUAGAGCAUCUGCUUGGCACACAGAGGGUCCCUGGUUCAAACCCCACCAUCUCCC
rnacentral:tRNA from 1 species